UAUUGAUCAGGGAGGUGCCUGCUCCUAAUAGCAGAGGCUCUGGUCUGUAUUGGCGGGGCAUGGGACAUUUCCUCUUUAAAUUGCAGGAAGUCUUUGGGCAGUCUUUCCACAGCUGAGAUGCAGGCCCGUA